rnacentral:ncRNA from 1 species
UAUUCCAUGGUGGCAUUCAUUCAACCCACGGCUUUGGACCCGUGGUGAGUCCCCUGCUUGCUCUGAAUUUGCUAAGCGUAAUAGCUCACUGGUCUAGCUCCAUGGCACUGAAAAUGUAUCAGGGCUCAAGUGAUUCACCGAAGCGACGAGACCUUGAAAGCUGCUUUUUUAAGUGUCAGUAGCGGGACGUUCUGUCAAUCGGGGAAGGUUUUUGGUGACAACACCUGGAGAUAUCAGAAGUGAG